rnacentral:rRNA from 1 species
UACGAAGGGGGCUAGCGUUGCUCGGAAUCACUGGGCGUAAAGGGUGCGUAGGCGGGUCUUAAGUCAGGGGUGAAAUCCUGGAGCUCAACUCCAGAACUGCCUUUGAUACUGAAGAUCUUGAGUUCGGGAGAGGUGAGUGGAACUGCGAGUGUAGAGGUGAAAUUCGUAGAUAUUCGCAAGAACACCAGUGGCGAAGGCGGCUCACUGGCCCGGUACUGAC